rnacentral:misc_RNA from 1 species
GAUGAAGAACGCAGCGAAAUGCGAUAAGUAAUGUGAAUUGCAGAAUUCAGUGAAUCAUCGAAUCUUUGAACCCACAUUGCGCCCGCCAGUAUUCUGGCGGGCAUGCCUGUUCGAGCGUCAUUUCAACCAUCAAGCCCCCGGGCUUGUGUUGGGGACCUGCGGCUGCCGCAGGCCCUGAAAAGCAGUGGCGGGCUCGCUGUCACACCGAGCGUAGUAGAUUUUAUCUCGCUCUGGGCGUGCUGCGGGUUCCGGCCGUUAACCACCCUUUUAACCCAAGGUUGACCUCGGAUCAGGUAGGAAGACCCGCUGAACUUAAGCAUAUCAAUAAGCGGAGGA